rnacentral:rRNA from 1 species
UACAGAGGUCCCGAGCGUUGUUCGGAAUUACUGGGCGUAAAGGGCGCGUAGGCGGUGUGUCAAGUCAGGCGUGAAAGCCCCGGGCUCAACCUGGGAACCGCGCUUGAGACUGGCACGCUCGAGUUCGGGAGAGGAUGGUGGAAUUCCCAGUGUAGAGGUGAAAUUCGUAGAUAUUGGGAAGAACACCGAUGGCGAAGGCAGCCAUCUGGACCGACACUGACGCUGAGGCGCGAAAGCGUGGGGAGCAAACAGG